rnacentral:tRNA from 1 species
GCGGGCGUGGUGGAAUGGUAGACACAGCGGUCUCAAAAGCCGUGUCCCUUACCGGGAAUAAGAGUUCGAAUCUCUUCGCCCGCACCA